rnacentral:tRNA from 1 species
GCCCGAGUGGCGAAAUAGGUAGACGCGUUGGACUUAAAAUCCAAUGACAGCAAUGUCGUGCCGGUUCAAGUCCGGCCUCGGGUACCA